UGGGGAAUAUUGCACAAUGGGCGCAAGCCUGAUGCAGCCAUGCCGCGUGUAUGAAGAAGGCCUUCGGGUUGUAAAGUACUUUCAGUCGGGAGGAAGGUGGUAAGGUUAAUAACCUUGGCAAUUGACGUUACCGACAGAAGAAGCACCGGCUAACUCCGUGCCAGCAGCCGCGGUAAUACGGAGGGUGCAAGCGUUAAUCGGAAUUACUGGGCGUAAAGCGCACGCAGGCGGUUGAUUGAGUCAGAUGUGAAAUCCCCGGGCUUAACCCGGGAAUUGCAUCUGAUACUGGGCAGCUAGAGUCUUGUAGAGGGGGGUAGAAUUCCAUGUGUAGCGGUGAAAUGCGUAGAGAUGUGGAGGAAUACCGGUGGCGAAGGCGGCCCCCUGGACAAAGACUGACGCUCAGGUGCGAAAGCGUGGGGAGCAAACAGG
rnacentral:rRNA from 1 species